rnacentral:rRNA from 1 species
UACGUAGGGUGCGAGCGUUGUCCGGAAUUAUUGGGCGUAAAGAGCUCGUAGGCGGUCUGUCGCGUCGAAUGUGAAAACCCGGGGCUCAACUCCGGGCUUGCAUUCGAUACGGGCAGGCUAGAGUUCGGUAGGGGAGUCUGGAAUUCCUGGUGUAGCGGUGAAAUGCGCAGAUAUCAGGAGGAACACCGGUGGCGAAGGCGGCCCACUGGGCAGUCACUGACGCUGAGGCGCGAAAGCUCGGGGAGCGAACGGG